CCAGGGGGUCUGGCAGGGGAGGGUGGGGGCAGCAGUUCAUUCUUCUUGUGCCCCAUUAUCCUGUCAGACCUUCAGAGGCGAGUCCCACAAAGGCGGGGAUGUUUGUCAGUUUCUAGGACGGUGCCUGGCAAUCAGUAAACAAUUAUUGAAUGAAUGAGCCUCAGAGACAUGCAGCAGUGUGCUCAAGGUCACACAGCAAGUCGGUGAGAGACAGGGAGGCUGUAGUAGACAGCAAUUAUAAGAAGCAUUGCACUCAAUUCUGUCGCAGGUGUCCUUAUAAGAGACAUGCUGACAGACACACUGAGAGAAGAGGAGAAGGUCAUGGGAAGAUGGAGGCAGAAAAGAGUGACGCAGGGCAAGGAAAGCUGACAGUCACCAGAAACCAGAAGGAGCGAGAAAGGACCCUCCCUUAGAGCCUCGGAGGGCACCCAGCUCUGCCGACACCUUGAUCUGGGACUGCGACCUCCAGGACCCGGAGAGAAUCCGCUUCUGUUGUUCUAAGCCCCCAGUUUGAGAUAAUUUGCUAUGGCAGCCCUAGGCAACUAAUAAGUCCUUGUCCCUGUCUAUCGCUCUCCCUCUCUCGUUCCCUUUUCCCUCAGUGCUCGUUGGUGCUAGGUCCAGGCACCUCGCAGGGGUCAGCAGCUUCCAACCAACCCCGAAUGCCAAGAGGAAGGAAAGCAGAAUCUGGAGACACUCUGCAAACCCAACCUAGAGUGAGCAGUGCCGCUGCCCUCACACCUUCCCAGAGCAGGAGCCGCCCUGUGCCCCACAGCCGUCCACCCGCGCAGGCUAACAGACCCAGCACGUGUGCCGGGCGAAGGAGGUGAAUGGCAGGAUAACUCCACCGGGUGUGGCUACCGAUGGAAAUGUCUGUAUUUCUGUCACCAGAUUUCUGUCACUGUAGUCAGAACCAGUUCUUGAUGGGCUUGUCCACUGGAGCUGGAGAAGGAUGCUUAUGCUUCACAGUUCUCCAUGACGAUGGUGGCGCUGGGAGCGCUGCUGACUGCAGUGCCUGUGGCGAAAGCGACAAAAGGGGCUGUGUGUGGUGUUGGAUAAGGCACCAUUAAUGCAGUCAAGGUGAUUGAGGUAGCAGUAUUGUGGAGGCAGCGGUGAUGGCAGGACAGUAAUUGUGGUGGUGCUAGUGGAGGUGAUGGUGACACUGGUGGUGACAGUAGUAAUGCGUGUGGUGGAGAGAGUAACUUGCGGUGGUGGUGGUGGUGGUGGUGGUUAUGGUAACGAUGGAGGGGAUGGUGAUUGUGAGACGGGUGGUGGUAGAGGUGGUGUUGGUGAUGGUGGAGGCGUGAUGGGGAGGUGAUGGAAAUGGCUACUAGUGGAGCUCUUGGCGUGGCUGGAGGUGGCGGUGGCGGUGGCGGUGAUGAAGGCAGUGAAGUAGAAGGUGCGUGUCGUAUAGCUUUGGUGCAGUAACCACCCCCACAUCUCAGCAACUUCUGACAGACUGUUCUGGCCUGCUUUUCUUGUUAGCAGCCAUUGGUCAGCCACUGGGGCUUCAACUCACAUGUUGUCUCAUUCUGGAUCCCAGGCUGAGGGAGCAGCUCUGAGGAUGCGAGUAAGAGCUGGUAGAAACUUGGGACGCCUCUUAAAACUUCUGCUGGGAUGUGCAGUAUGUCACGCUUGCUCAUGUCACGUGGUCCAGGCCACUGUCAACGGGGUGGGAAUGGUACUCUUUCAGGAAGGUUCUGCAAGUCUCAAGCAACAGCUGGAGAGGCAGAAUGCCCUUACAGGGAAGAAAGAGUGGGCUAUACUGCAGGCUGCUGCAGGUGAUAUUGGGGUGACAGAGGCGGUGGUAAUGAUGGCGCCAGUAGAAACAGUGGUGGUGGCAAUGGGAGUGGUGGUGGUGAUGGUGGUGACGGUUAGGUGGCAGGAACUGUGACAGUAAUGGAGGAUGGUGGGGAUGCUGAAAGUGGUGGGAAUGACAUGCUGGUGGCAGUGACAGAGCGCUAUAGCAAUGGUGCUGGUGGUGAUGGUGAUAUAUUGAGGGGGGGUGUUCUGGGUUUUCUGAUGCUAACUCAGCAUUACCACCACCACCUCCUAUGGUCUCCUCUGCAUACUAGAAAACUCUGGAAGAUUUUCCAGAAUCUCCUUACCCAAAUGACUCCAGGUUAGAGUCUGCCAAUGCAGGAGGUUUGGAAAGGAAAAAGAAAGGGGCAGCUGCCGGCAGAUGACAACCAGGAGGUUUGCAGCAGCUUCUGGGCAAUCUUCUGAGAAGUCCUGCUUCAGAGCUGCAGGCUUCACCUCACCCCGCGCUUAUUAAGGGGAAGCUUAUGGGAAUAUUGUGAGAUUCCGGCAGCUUCCAGGCAAGCUCAUGAGAUCCACUCACUUUGGACCCACAGGCUGAGGCCAUCAGCGGUGACUUGCUUCCCUGACCUUAUUCCACCAGGUCGUCAAGUGGUUGUGGAAACGUGUAUGAAAUGUCUUCAUACACAGCAAAUAACUGUGUACAUGUGAUCAUGGUGACGGUGACUCAGAUGAAAGUGGUGGUAGUGUGGAAUGUGGGCAUAGUGAUAAUGGUGACAAUGCAGAUGGUAGUGAUAAUGGGAUGUCAGAGGUGGAGAUGACACCGGUGGUGGAAGAGGUAGAGGUAACGGUGAGUCUGGCUGAGGUAGACGUAGUGGUGGUGGUGGUGAUGAUAGAGGAGAUGAUGGAGGUGACGAGGAAGGUGGUGGCAAUAGGGACGUUGGUUGAGGUGGAGAUGCAAAUCGUGGUAACGAUAAUAGUGAUCUUGGUAAUGAUGGUAAUAAUGGCGGUCAUGAUAGUGGUGACAUUGGUUGAGGUAAAUAUGGUGGUGGUGAUGGUAGUGAUGCUGGUGGUGGUGGUGAUGGUAAUGAUGGGCAUAUUGGUGGUCAUGGUAAUGCAGAUACUGGUUGAGGUGGAGAUGGUGGUGGAGAUGAUGGUGGAGAUGGUGUGAUGAUGAGGAAGGUGAUAUCAGAGGCAGGAUGAUGGUAGUAGUGAUGGAAGUGGUGGUCAUGGUGAUGAUAGUGAUGGUGGUGAUGCUGGUAAUAGGGAUGGUAAUGAUGGUCAUAGUAAUGGUGAUGCUGGUUGAAGUGAUGGAGGUCGUGUCAGAAGUGGGACGUGGUAGUGGUGAUGGGAGUGGUGGAGUGUUAAUAGUUAAUAGUGAUGUGAUGCGAUGCGAUGGUGAUACUGGUUGAGGUUGUGGUCACAGUGGGGUUGAUGGUAAUAAUGAUGGUGGUGAUGAUGGUGGAGGUAGGGAUGAUGGUGUGUUUAUGGUGGUGGUGAUGGGGUGAUGUGAUAUUGGUGAGAGGGUUGGUGACAGUGGCAUCGCUACAAGUGAAGCCUGAGGGUCCCAUAAAAAUGUAAUCGGGAGAGCGUGUGAGUGGUUACAAUAAAAGACAAGGGACCCAGGAUGAUGAGAUGCCCAAGAAUCCUACGGAGGGUUCACCCCAAACCCAAGGUCCCCUCUCUCUGCCUUGCCUGAGACUCUGAUGCUGGCCUCCACUGUCCUCCAGGGAGGAACUUUUUUCUGGCCACUGUUGAUUCCAGAGCCCCUCAGUAGGUUCUCUGCCCUGCUCUGAGCCCAGGCCCUCUGCUCAGCCUGAGACCCCAUCCUGGGGUGGUCGGUAGGAGGCAGGUGGGCUGGGGACAGGGCUGGAGACCCCAUCGUAUCCCCUGGGUUCGGGGCUGUCCCAGAGCACAGAGAGCAGACCACUCAGUAGGACUCAUGGUGAUGGGCACAGCACGUGGAGGAGAGCCCAGCUCCUCACUGCCAAAGGCGCCUGAGGAUGGAGAGCCCCCACCCCGGGUACCAGGGCUGGGGGCAAACUCCCCACAAGGAAGGCUUGGAACUUGGUGGCAGCAUGCAGAGGUCAUUUCCUCUGCUGCAAAGGAUUCAGACUGGUGUCUUCUGAGGUCCUUAAGCUGAAAGUGUUGGUGGAGACCAGUGGGAGCAGCAGGGGCCUCUGGGUGUCUCCACAGGGCCUCAUGGAGGAACAGGCAUGAGCAGGCGUGAGCCGCAGCCCGGGCUGCACUCUUGCUGUUCCGUCACUUUCGCUCUCUGGGCCUCUCUGCCCUCGUUUGCCAGUCGGGUGGCAAAACUCCUUCUGUUUGGGCUUCCUCCCCUCUUAGGCCCGGCCUAAAGCCAGCCCCAUGAGUCACGGCCUGGGAAGAGGAAGGUGACCAGGUGAUCUUGGGAGCCUGACCCAGUGCACAGGGAGGCCCAGAGAGGGCAGAGCCCACCCAAGGUCACACAGUGGUCCCAGGAACCCCCCCAGGGCAAGCUGAUGGAGGCUGAUUAGGCAGCCAAUUGGUAUUCUGAGCAGCCAGAGGCCCUUCUCUGUCUCUGUAAUUAAUGGAGUGGCUUUUUAAAAGGAUUCUAAUCACCCCGAUCCUAUCUGCUUAUCACUAGCGUCCCUAAUUAGAUGAUCCUGGCAGUCACUGCUAAUUCCCUGCAGCCCCGCGCAGCCCUGCCCCACCCAGGGCAGCCACCCCACCCCCACAGUCCACCCCGGCUGGCCAGAUGGGCGGUUGGGGCCUUCUCUCCCCUCAGGGUCCCUGGUUCUCUAACUGCAUUACCUUCAGGAUGGAUGGGCGACAGCGAUGGAUCGAUGGGCCACUGGAUGGACAGUGACAGGACGUCCAGGAAAGCCUCCUGCUCAACCCUCCUAGCCACUGGUGACAAGCACCCACUGGGUCCCUGGGGUCCUUCCCUCCGAUCCUGACCCAGGGUGAGCCAGGAUGCUGCUAAACCUCCUACAAUGUACGGGACAGCCCUCAGCACAGAGAAGGCCCGGCUCAAGUGCCAACAGUCCUGAAGCCGAGAGCCCCGGUCCACAGCCUGCGUCAUCGUUUGAUGAGCUCAGCUACGUUGGAUGUGUAUUUGUAGUGGGCCAAAGGCAUUCAUCUCUUUAAUGUGAACAUUGAAAACA